ACUGUUGGGGCCAGAGUCUGAGAGAAGUACAGUAAUGGAGCUCAACUUUUAAUUGUUUACCAAGUAAGCGUAAACUACUGCAUGCAAAGUCAUUCAUUCCAUGCACAAUUCAUUUAACCAGGAGCCAGGAUGAGCGUUCACGUACAUGCUAAACAGGGCCGCCGCUGGCCAAAUCGAUGCCCAACGCAGAGUUCCAGGUGAAGCGAUCAUCUGUGUUCCGCAACUGCUUGAAUCACGUUUAACGUGCGAGUAAGGGCAGCCGGUGGACUUUCUGGUACCUCCUAUGUUUUUUGGAUUUUCUCCCCAAUUUGGAACGCCCACUUUGCUCCAAAUCCGAGACAUAUCCAGCUGCAGACCCGCAGCACCACCAGUUUCAGAACCCCAGCGCCAGAACCUGAAGUGAGGGGCGGAGUUUUGACAAUGAGACAAGCAUGGCGGAGAGCAUGAGACAUUUAGAAUGAAUGAAGACCACAAGGAAAAGGCCCGCAACAAUCUCCUGGAACAGUCAGAAGCUUCCAGAGAGCCCUUUCUAUUUCAUUUUGUGUUCAAGGAUGACAUGGAGUUAUUUUAGCAAGAAUGUAAGGACAAAAUGGGCCUGAGAGUGAAUUCCUCAUUUGAUACAUUUUAAGUUUAAUUUAUACAGGAUUGUCAUGAUAAAAUGGGCCUAGGGGUGAAUUGGUCAUUUGUUGUCCAUCCAUCCAUCCAUCCAUCGUCAACCGCUUAUCCUGUGUACAGGGUCGCGGGGGUCAUUUGUUGUAUAUAUUUUUAUUGUUUCUUUUAAAAUUAUGCUUAAUUUUCUCUCUUUUUUAGUUUUUUGACAUGUUUUAUUUUACAUAAAGAAAAAUGCAUGCUGCACAUGUUCUUGUGAAAUAAAGUAUACUUUAUAUAA